GAGCGCUCAUGUCGUCGCUGAAAUCGUCGCUGAAAUCACCGCCGUCUAGUUCGAAGGAGCUGAAAUAGCUCCACGCGUCGUCAGAAGGCAUCGUCAGCUUCGCUUUUUUUUGGCGUUAGCACCACGUGCACUGCGCGCUUAGCACGCGUUCUGCGUGUUUACAUUACGGUAGUGUAGGAUCUGACGUCAUCGACUAAUCGUAGACGUCACAAGAAUCAGCUUCGCUUUCAGUUUCGGUGCCUUGUUUGUUGGUUAUUCAAAAUUACUGAUGACUUUCUAAACAAGUUGACCCACCCUACCGGUGAGAGGACUGUCAAUGCCAUUUGAAAAUGCCAAUAUCCUAAUAUGAUUAAAAAAAAAACACUGGAGUGGCCCUUUGAGAGGUUUCUCUCCAUCACCUUAGUUUUCUACAGCAGUAAUGCGUUAAACAUUCUUUGGCGAGCACCCCAGCAAAAUCUGUCCGUCCCGUGACGCCCUAUGUCUACAAAAUAAACGCAUAAUUGGUCAAGUUAACACGUCUAAUCGUUGUAGUAGUACAAUAGCAGAUUAUUGGUCGUGCUAGAAAAAAAAAAGACAAAAACAAAUUUGAAACUGAUUACUUCGUCGUCGAGACGUGAAUGUCAUAAAAACAACAACAACAACAAAAGGAAAAUAAAGAUGUUAACACAUGUAAUCGUUUCAAUACUGUAAUAUUAUAUGACCGGUAGCAUUAACGAAGACUGGUGACGGCGCCAUCGCGACGUCAAUGUUGUAACGAAAAAGAAAAAAAAGAGGAAAAAACCUGUGUUGCGGCAAAAUAGAAAAAAAAAAAAAACGGAUGUUACGGCGUUUCGGCUCAGUUGAUACGACGUAUCUGCAAAAUAAAGGCACAAUUGAUCAAGUUAACACAUGUAAUCCUUAUAAUAGUGUAAUAGUAGAUGAUUGGUGGCGAUGGGUAAGCAUGCAUAAGCUAGCUAAAUAAGUAGGCGAAAGUAAAGUAGCAGCCCAGCCAAAGAAUGCUUACGCAUUCGUAGACAAUGCGCAGAAUUUCUGUGCCAUAUUUUUUUUGCAUCCUGCUUUAUCGUAUAGCGCGGCCCAGCAUCGCACGCGCAGGCUGUUGUGAAGCGGCAUAAAGCGAUAGCCAGUGAGAGAACGCGUAGUGCAAUGCGUAAUUCAGAGGUCAGACUAACUUAAACAAAAUUGUUCGACAAGCGAUAAAAAAGGAGAAGCAAAAGGAACGCCGCAUUAAAAUUCGGAAAACAACGAAAUUCAAGCGAAACGUGAAGAGUGAAUACAAAACAAAGAAGCAAAAGCAACAACAACAACAAAAAAAGAGACUGUUUCUUCUCCUUCAUUCAGAUUCCCUAAUACAGACAAGUCCCAUCAACGAACCCUCCAAGCUGAGCGUCGGUUGGUCCGGCUCCCAGAGAACAAGACUGAAGAGCCAAGUACAACAAAGAGUAUGGAGGCUGCCGGAUGUCCUGCGUAACCCAAGUCCGGAUGACUGUAAGACAUCGGCGUGGGUGGGAGUGUGCGUGCGGGCGACCACGAAGGGAUUGCGUGUACGUGAGCUCACUGUCCGCUGCACCGGCUCGGAGAAUGCGCGUGACGCCGGGACGUCGACUUUCGCGAUAAAACCGUGCCGACACCAGCCUUGUGUCGCCAGGACAGAAGACUCCGUUGGAAACUACCGAAACCUGGUCGCAGGUUCCGUGUAAUGAUGGCACUGUCAUCGUUCCCAAUGGCCUUGCUCACCGUGGUGCUUAUGGGGGAUGCUGUCGUCAGCAAUCAGUUCUACUCUGUGUACUACCACAUUCGCCUGCUGGAAACCGACCGGGUCUACGGCUGCCUGCAGUGCUUCAAGAUGCCCUGUGCACAACGGGAGAUACGGGCACGGCCGCUAGAAGGACCAUUGCAGUGCUGCCGUGCUUGCACCGUUGUUGGUCCCGGAAGAGAGUGCUCCGUUUAUCGUGAGCAUACAGCGAUCGUUUGCGACAAAGCACACGUCUGCGACACCAACACACAAGUUUGCGUGAAAGAGCGAGACCGUUGACUGGAUAUGCAUUGAUACAAAAUAAAAAUCGGCCGACAUCAGCCACUUCGACGAUUUUUUCAGCUCUGAAGUCACCUGCUGCAAUGGCAAAAUACUUUAUAAGAGUGGUAAUCUAGUACCGGAAGAACAGGUCCGCAUCUAGUUGAUGGUGUUGAGGGAGAUAAGAGACCUUUGAAUCCGGUGCCGUCGGUACGUGGGUCCUGGUGUAACUAGUUGCCCAGCCUUCACCACCCCAUCUUCAUUGCGACGGGGGAACAAUCCCCCUGAGUCCGGCAAGAGAACAACCACAACAAAACUAGAAAAAAAAGCCUCGCUCGAAAAAAAAAAAAAGUCUCCCAGGUGCUGGGUAUCGAUCCCAGUACCUCUCGCAUGCUAAGCGAGCGCUCUACCAUCUGAGCUACACCCCCCCUUUUUUUUUCUUUCUUUCGUGGUAUUUAUUACAGUAGCAACAAACCGACGUUCACCAGUUUUGCAUAGUCAGACAAUGGAGUGCACAAUGAAAGUCACACAGAAAAGUCAUGGUUUAUACUGUCGGUAGAAAUGUUGGUUUCACUUUAGAAGGGUGGUAAGGAUACGCACCUCACCAAAAUGGGGUACCAGUCCGGCUGUGUAUCGAGUCCAUCAUAAACCUGCUUUAGGUGUAGUGUCAUUUGGAUGAAAUUUGC